GAGGGCACUCCCCCUCCUUAAUGACAUGCCCCAACUAAACCCCCACCCCUGAUUUUUUAUCAUGCUCACCUCAUGACUCACCCUCUCCCUAAUCAUCCAACCCAAACUCCUAACCUUCCUAUCAAUAAACCCACCCUCUAAUAAACCACCCGUCACCCCAAACACCACCCCCUGAACCUGACCAUGAACAUAAGCUUCUUCGACCAAUUCUCAAGCCCAUCCCUCCUAGGAAUCCCAUUAAUCCUCAUUUCAAUAACAUUCCCAGCCCUCCUCCUACCGUCCCUAGACAACCGAUGAAUCACCAACCGACUCUCAACCCUUCAACUGUGGUUUGUCAACCUAAUCACAAAACAACUAAUAAUGCCCCUAGACAAAAAAGGACACAAAUGAGCCUUAAUCCUAACCUCCCUCAUAAUCUUCCUCCUACUCAUUAAUCUUCUAGGCCUACUACCCUACACAUUCACACCAACCACUCAACUAUCCAUAAACCUAGCCCUAGCCUUCCCCCUAUGACUAGCCACCCUACUAACAGGACUGCGAAACCAACCCUCCGCCUCUCUAGGCCAUCUCCUGCCAGAAGGUACCCCCACCCCACUAAUCCCAGCCCUCAUCCUAAUCGAAACAACAAGCCUACUCAUCCGCCCAUUAGCACUAGGCGUCCGCCUAACAGCCAACCUCACAGCAGGCCACCUUCUCAUCCAACUCAUCUCUACAGCCACAACAGCCCUAUUCUCUACGAUACCCCUGGUAUCCCUCCUGACCCUACUAAUUCUCCUCCUACUAACCAUCCUAGAAGUGGCGGUAGCAAUAAUCCAAGCCUAUGUCUUUGUUCUCCUGCUAAGCCUUUACCUACAAGAAAACAUCUAACCCCAAUGGCACACCAAGCUCAUUCCUACCACAUAGUUGACCCUAGCCCCUGACCUAUCCUAGGAGCAGCCGCUGCUCUACUAACCACCUCAGGCCUAACAAUGUGAUUCCACUACAACUCCCCCCGACUCCUUAUCUUAGGCCUACUCUCAACCAUCCUCGUUAUAUUCCAAUGAUGACGCGACAUCGUACGAGAAAGCACAUUCCAAGGCCACCACACUCCUACCGUACAAAAAGGACUACGCUACGGAAUAGCCCUAUUCAUCACAUCAGAGGCCUUCUUCUUCCUAGGCUUUUUCUGAGCCUUCUUCCACUCAAGCCUCGCCCCCACGCCCGAACUAGGAGGACAAUGGCCGCCCGUCGGAAUUAAACCACUCAACCCCAUAGAAGUGCCCCUCCUUAACACCGCCAUCCUCCUAGCCUCAGGGGUCACUGUCACAUGGGCUCACCACAGCAUCACAGAAGCCAAUCGAAAACAAGCAAUCCAAGCAUUACUACUAACCGUACUCCUGGGAUUCUACUUCACCGGCCUACAAGCCAUAGAAUACUACGAAGCCCCCUUCUCUAUUGCCGAUGGAGUCUAUGGAUCAACAUUCUUCGUCGCCACUGGAUUCCAUGGCCUCCAUGUAAUUAUUGGCUCCACAUUCCUUCUAGUCUGCCUCCUACGUCUAAUUAAAUACCACUUCACAUCAAACCACCACUUCGGAUUUGAAGCAGCCGCCUGAUACUGACACUUCGUAGACGUCGUAUGAUUAUUCCUCUAUAUUUCUAUCUACUGAUGAGGAUCUU